rnacentral:siRNA from 1 species
CUCAUCUGUUUUCUUAUCAUCUGC